CCAGGGUCAAUCUAGCAGUGGAGGCACACGUGGCCAGGGUACUUAGUUAACCGCGAUGCUCUGCCUCGGGAAGGUCUGAGAUAAAGUCUUGCCUCUCCGAUGUUUCUCGAAGAGGGACGCUCUAGAAGGGCGAUCCCGUAAAUGGGAUGCGGGGAAACCAGAAACAGCGGUAAACCAGCCUCUGUCGCCGGGGACGCCAGUGUAUUUCUCCUCCUCUCUCUCUCUCCUUCUCCGUCCGUUUAUUCUCUCCAUCCUUCUCUCUCUCUCUCUCUCUCUCUCUCUCUCGUUCCUCUAGUGUUUGGCUCAUUUUCACGUUUCCUCUCCGACGACGACUGUUCUUAGCCUUCUCUCGAUUCCUCUGCAAACUUCGUUCCUUGCACGAGGGAAGGGAGAGUGGGGAAACUGGCAGAGGUCGGCCGGUCAUACCGAUGGAAAUUCCCGCGACUCGCAAUUUCAGUACAAUCUGCAAGCCGUCCCUCCGUAACGUAUCCAACGCUCUGCUCGUAUUUCGUUAGACGACGUCUCUGAGGUGGGGCGGAACUCAAUUCAGACUAAUCUGACUCUGG
rnacentral:RNase_P_RNA from 1 species